AACGAACGCUGGCGGCAGGCUUAACACGUGCAAGUCGAACGGGUGUAGCAAUACAUCAGUGGCGCACGGGUGAGUAACGCGUGGGAAUAUGCCCUUUGGUACGGAACAACCUCGGGAAACUGAGGCUAAUACCGUAUAAUAUCCGCGGAUCAAAGAUUUAUCGCCAAAGGAUUAGCCCGCGUUGGAUUAGGUAGUUGGUGAGGUAACGGCUCACCAAGCCGACGAUCCAUAGCUGGUCUGAGAGGAUGAUCAGCCACACUGGGACUGAGACACGGCCCAGACUCCUACGGGAGGCAGCAGUGAGGAAUAUUGGACAAUGGAGGAAACUCUGAUCCAGCCAUGCCGCGUGAGUGAUGAAGGCCUUCGGGUUGUAGAGCUCUUUUACCCCUGACGAUAAUGACGGUAAGGGGAGAAAAAGCCACGGCUAACUUCGUGCCAGCCGCCGCGGUAA
rnacentral:rRNA from 1 species